rnacentral:tRNA from 1 species
GGCCCCGUAGCUCAGCUGGAUAGAGCAACUGACUUCUAAUCAUUGGGUCGCCGGUUCGAGUCCGGCCGGGGUCACUA